AUACUUACCUCGUGUCGGGCCCUCCGGCGCUCAGAGAGGCUGGGGCCCCGUGCCGAGGCUUCCCAUUGCACUGCGGGUGGCUGAAGUGCGCUACUACCCAAACUGGGAUAGAUAGGGCACGUAAUUUUUGGUAGUGGUGCUUGGCGUACGCGCAAGCACUUG